rnacentral:rRNA from 1 species
UUUCGCAAUGCCCGAAAGGGUGACGAAGCGACGCCGCGUGCGGGAAGAAGGCCUUCGGGUUGUAAACCGCUGUCGGGAGUUAAGAAACGUAAGGAUGUUAAUAGCAUCUUUGCUUGACUAAGGCUCCGGAGGAAGCCACGACUAACUCUGUGCCAGCAGCCGCGGUAAUACAGAGGCGGCAAGCGUUGUUCGGAAUUAUUGGGCGUAAAGAGCACGUAGGCGGCUAUGUAAGUCGGUUGUGAAAGCCUUCCGCUCAACGGGAGAACAGCAUCAGAUACUGCAUGGCUUGAGUGCGGGAGGGGAGAGUGGAACUUCUGGUGGAGCGGUGAAAUGCGUAGAUAUCAGAAGGAACGUCGGCGGCGAAAGCGACUCUCUGGCCUAUUACUGACACUGAGUGUGCGAAAGUUAGGGGAGCAAACGGGAUUAGAUACCCCGGUAGUCCUAACUGUAAACGAUGGGCACUAAGUAGAGGGGUUUUA